GACGAACCGUGCGAACGUUGUUCGGAAUCACUGGGCAUAAAGGGCGCGUAGGCGGCUUAUCAAGUCAGGGGUGAAAUCCGGCAGCUUAACUGUCGAAGUGCCUUCGAUACUGGCAAGCUCGAGGGAGGUAGGGGUCUGUGGAACUUCUGGUGGAGCGGUGAAAUGCGUUGAUAUCAGAAGGAACGCCGGUGGCGAAAGCGACGGACUGGACCUCUUCUGACGCUGAGGCGCGAAAGCUAGGGGAGCAAACGGG
rnacentral:rRNA from 1 species